rnacentral:rRNA from 1 species
GCGAUCAUACCAGCACUAAUGCACCGGAUACCAUCAGAUCUCCAAAGUUAAGCGUGCUUGGGCGAGAGCAGUACUAGGAUGGGUAACCCCCUGGGAAGUCCUCGUGUUGCACCU